rnacentral:rRNA from 1 species
GAAGGAUCAUUACCGAGUGCGGGAACCCAGUCGGGUCCCAAUCUCCCACCCGUGUCUACCACACCUAGCGUUGCUUUGGCGGGCCCACUCCUCCGGUGUUCCGCCGGGGGGGUCGUCCCGGGGCGCGGUGUGCCCCCGGGGCCCGUGCCCGCCAGAGGCACUCACUGUGAACGCUUUUGUGAAUGCGAGGAUUGUCUGAGUGACGAAAUGCAAUCGUUCAAAACUUUCAACAAUGGAUCUCUUGGUUCCGGCAUCGAUGAAGAACGCAGCGAAAUGCGAUAAGUAAUGUGAAUUGCAGAAUUCCGUGAAUCAUCGAAUCUUUGAACGCACAUUGCGCCCUCUGGUAUUCCGGGGGGCAUGCCUGUCCGAGCGUCAUUGCGAACCCUCAAGCACGGCUUGUGUGUUGGGCCGCCGUCCCCUCGUUUGGAGGGGACGGGCCUGAAAGGCAGCGGCGGCGUCGCGUCCGGUCCUCGAGCGUAUGGGGCUCUGUCACGCGCUCAAGGAGGGGUCCGGCCGGGGCCAUAGCCUCUGAAGGUCAAUUCUUCCAAGGUUGACCUCGGAUCAGGUAGGAGUACCCGCUGAACUUA